rnacentral:rRNA from 1 species
AUUCCCCUAGUAACGGCGAGUGAAGCGGGAAGAGCUCAAAUUUGAAAUCUGGUAGCCUUCGGUUGCCCGAGUUGUAAUCUAGAGAAGUGUUUUCCGUGCCGGCCCAUGUACAAGUCCCUUGGAACAGGGCGUCAUAGAGGGUGAGAAUCCCGUCCUUGACAUGGACCCCCGGUGCUUUGUGAUACACUUUCAACGAGUCGAGUUGUUUGGGAAUGCAGCUCAAAAUGGGUGGUGAAUUCCAUCUAAAGCUAAAUAUUGGCGAGAGACCGAUAGCGAACAAGUACCGUGAGGGAAAGAUGAAAAGCACUUUGGAAAGAGAGUUAAACAGUACGUGAAAUUGUUGAAAGGGAAACGAUUGAAGUCAGUCAUGCUCUUGGGACUUACCUCCCUUGAGUGGGGUCAACAUCAGUUUUGAUCGAUGGAUAAAGGCACGGGGAAGGUAGCACUCUCGGGUGAACUUAUAGCCUCGCGUCAUAUACAUUGAUUGGGACUGAGGAACGCAGCAUGCCUUAUGGCCGGGAUUCGUCCACGUACAUGCUUAGGAUGUUGACAUAAUGGCUUUAAACGAC